GGUCAGGUGGCCGAAAAAGGCGGCAGGCUGUAAACUUGCACAUGGGGCGAGCGCCCCCCGUCCG
rnacentral:tRNA from 1 species